GGAGACAGAGGGAGACUCUGUCUCAAAAAAAAAAACAAAAAAAAAACAACUUUUUGCUUUAUUGCAGGCAGGAUGCAUUUCAAGAGGCUUAUUUCCCCUUCUCUGUCUGAUCUAUCUGCUAAGUAUCUUGGCUUUCUAUUUCCCAUAGCCCAUCUAAUCUUCAUGUAGCUGUGAAAGAAGUAUAUCUUUGAAAGUAGAAUUUUGAGUAAAGAAACCUGGAAGUUAGGGACUGAUAACCAGGUUGCAUGGCUCCUUGUUAAUUUCAGCUUCAAGCCAUGUUUGCGUCUUCUUGGGCCCUUAAUCUACUGUUGAGCAUGUCUUUUUCUUUCUUGGUGUGAAUUCUGCCUCUUGGUAUAGGUGGUAUUUGUUAACAUAACUCUGACAUAAACGUGGAAACAUUCUGUGUCUCAUUGUCGUUGUCUAUAAAAUGGGGUUAUAGGGUAUUUCCUGACCUACUUAAGGUUACUGUGAGGAUUAGUGAAUAUAGAAAGAAUAAGAAGUAUAGUAUAAGCAUAAGGUGACAUACAAUGAAGUAUAACCUUUAUUAUUGAAUUUCACUUUGUGACCUUAUAAAAUUUGAUUCCUUUCAGCUCUAUCAACGACAGCAUCUUGCUUAGUCAUAUUUUUUUUUCUUUUUAGAAAACUUAGGUGCUUGUCCAAUGCCGCAAAGCAAGUUUGGGUAAGGUAGGGUAAAAGCUCCAGUCUCCUAAGUCCCACAGCAGCAGGAUGCUCAGUUGUGAUUUCUGCCUUACUUUACCACUUGGGUAAUCUUUCAGUGAAGGAGGUAACUAUCUCUUCUUUCUUGGGUUAAAAUAAUACCUUAGUAGAAGCAAAGAACACUGUCACUUUAGUUCUUUUCAACCUUCAUUUGCCGUCGCCCUCUGUGUCUAGGCAUGAUGAGCUAGCCUGAAGGUGACAAGACAAGUAUGAUAGAUUCUGGCCUCCAAGGGACUGCCAAAUCUAGUGGAAGGAGGUAAACAAAUAAACAGACAGACAUUUGGGAGUCUGAGUUUCCGGUGCUGCUCCUUACACACGUGGGCAAGUCAUGUCUUUCUUUGGGCUCAGGUUUCCUAGCUGCACGUUAAGGUCCUAGAACAAAUGUGCAGAAUGAUCAUGAUCACUUGAGGCCGCUUCUAAUUUGUCACCAUCUAUGGGUCUGUGAUAAUCCCAAGCUGUGUGCUUGCCAACUGAAACUGAAAUAAAGGAAAGCGAUUAAUUCAUUUCACAAACUGAAAUGAAGGAAAUCUCUUAAUCUGAUGACAUAUUCUUCCUAAUUAUUAUUUGUGAUAAAUUUCACAGACUACUUUUUCCAACAUUCAGCACUACCGUUGUAUUGUAUUAUAUUGGAACAUAGAUGGCGAUACUUGUUCAGUUAACCAAAUGGUCAACUGCAAAAACAGCAGAAGCGGACAUCUCAUGAUGAUUUAAUACAGGGCACAAAAAUCAAUGGUAGCAUUAACUACUAUUCGUGGCCUCUCUGUAGUGUUUUUAAGCUACCUUUCUUUUUUCCUAAAAAGGACCAUAGAAUAAUAGCAGCUAGUAUUUAUUUAGUUUUUUCCUGUGUGAUAGGUAAGUGUUGUUUUAAGUGCUUCCCAUAUAAAAACUCAUUUAAUCUUUACAUUUUGAAGCAGGCAUUAUCUUCCCUAGAAGAUAAUGUUUAGAGAUUAGACAACCGAGGUACAAGAAAUUAAGUAAAACUUAUUCAUAAUUACACAGCUAUUAAGAGGUGGAGGCAGGAUUCAAACUGAGGCAGUCAGCCUCAGGCAGUCUCAUGCUUCGCGGCUGGACGAUCGCCUAAAUGAAAGCUGCUCACUCCCAGCCCACUGAGAACCUGGAGAAACUGGCGUUGUUAUGCGGCCACAGGCUAAGAAAGCAGUGUAUCAGCUUACUUGUGGCUCUAAACUUGGCCAGAUCCUCAAUUCUAAGGAUUCUGAGAACUAUGCACAGGUGUUCUCAGUCUGGAUUCAUGUCUCAGGUGACUCAUGAACCCUUGGAAAUUGUGUGCCAAAUGCAUUUAUGUGUCCAUGUGUGUUGUGUUGGUAUGACGGGCUAGGCGACUUAAUGGUUUUCUGCACAAUAUCAGAAGAGCCCCCACUCUGUCACUGGCAGGAUCCUAGCUGUGCAGGCCUUUGUCAAAUCUAAAUCAAGAUUCCGGGCUGGGAGUUAGGAUAUAAGUACGCAUUGAACAUGUGAGUGGCUAUAGGAACCUGGAAGAACCAGGCUUUCCAAAUGUCCUCCCCUGCUUGGAGCUCUGCUGCUGUGGUGCAGUUGUACAAUGUCCUUUUUUCUCUUUGAAGCUUUCCAAAUUUUUCAAUCUUUUUUUUUUUUUUUUGCCUCCAGAUUUUGGAAAGUCAAAAUUUCAAGUGUUUUUUUUUUUUCCUUUUGUUUUACCUCUUCCUUUCUGGCUUUGUUCAGAAAUCAGACAUCAAUAAGCUUUUUAUUACUCAUCCAAUCUGAGUUCAGUUUCCCAUUUAACUUUUAUGAAUGUUUUCUUUGUUAAGAUGGGUUCUUUCAAACCCUGUAAAGAAUGUUUUACUAUAUACUAACAUAAAAAUGAAGUGUUAAAACUAGAAAAUCCAACUGGAAACACAAGCAUACAUAUACAUUUUCCUCUAGGCAAUUUAGCUUCGUGGAAAUUGAGUGCAUCUGCAAGGGAAUUUUUUUUUUAAAUGUUUUUGGUAGUUUUGUUAUUUGUAUUACCUGUUUGGUCCUAGUCUUUAUAUUUGAUUACUCUAGGUAGGUCUUUUUAGGACUGAAAAUAGGUCACACAUAUUAUGCUGGUCCCGAUAUUAGAGAGAUGAUAAAAUUCUAUUACAAAGUAAUUUUGUCAUGCUUUUGGUCUAAAUGAGUCAUACAACUAGCAUGUCCGAUGUCAUUUUUUGCUGUAAUCUUGAAAACUUUUACUGUCUAUCCCAUCCUUAUAUACUGCAACAAACUUCUAUAUUAUUUCAGUUGCAGUUCAGGCAUUGCCCCUGACAGGCUUAACUUCAAGUCUCAGUUCUGUUACUUAGAAGCCAUAUGACUUUGGGCAAGUUUAUUUAAUUGUUUGGAGUCUUUUUUUUUUCCUACGAAAGGGGAAAACAAUAAUUAUAUAUUGCUCAAAGGGUUAUGAGGAGUGAGGUCAGGCAUGGUUAUAUGUUUCACUCUGGCUUUUUGCAGAGUAAGCACUUGAUAAAUGAUGCUCAUGUUGUUGAUUGUCAUCAUCAUCAUUAAUAUGUGUAAUAUGCUAGGUAUACUGCUUGGCAUAUAGUGAGCAUUAAAUACAUAUUUAUGGGAUUUUAUUGUACAUAGUGCUUGUGACUGAAUCAGAGGUUUCCAGGGAUAGCAUUUUGCUCAGUAGAUGAAUAAGAAGGACAUCAUUGAACAGAACAAAUGAUGACUCUACCUUUAAGUCAACAAAUUUCGUAGUGAGGUGGUCUUGAAUGCAAACAAUGAAAUGUGGCAUGUCUAGUGGAGGAAAAAAACCUAACAAUCUUGAAGCUGUUUUAAGGAGUAGCAGUUGCCUAGUCACCCCAAUUGCCAAAAUUUUCCUUCUCUCCCUUGAAUGAGGAGAAGAGAGGGGCAGAAAGGUUACUGGUUGUGUUCAUUAAUUUUCUUUCAAGAACUGCCACAUGUCACCAGCGGUGCCCCCCCCCCACCCCAGCACCAGUGCUGUUUGGCGGUCUUCUCUUUGCCCCAGAGAAGCCAAAAUGUUAAAUUGGUGGAGCUUACUAGAUCUGACAGAGAAAUUCUUCACGUCUGGCCUGGAUGUCUAAGUAAAUUUGGUGUACUCCUUGUGGUCUGGGGCAAAUGCUGGAAGCUAUUAGAAUUCUGAACAAAACCCUCCAUUCAAAGACUGCUCGUUUCCUGCUGGGGUAAUCCAAGUAUCAAACAUUAAGAAAUAUGGGCAAGGCAAAUGUGGCUGCUCAAUGCAAAACCCACCAAGGUGUCUACGACAUCUCCCCAAAUGACUUAGAAUGUUACUUCCACUUGAUCAUCUUGAAUAAGUGGUUUCUUUUGAAACCAAGAGCUCUACUUUUCCUACAGCAAGUAUAGAUGAGAAUUGCCUGAAUUUCCUCUUGUCAGUCAAAUUUAGAAGAAGAAAGCUUUCUCCUUCCCUUGAAGUUCUAGGGACCUAAGCUUUUUUUUGUGUGUGUUUGUGUGUGUGUGUGUGUGUGUGUGUGAACAUGUGUUUAGGUCAACUCUUUGAUUUGUUCUCUUUCUUCUUCUUUUUAUUGUUUCAAGGCUAUAUUUUAGGUUGGCUGUACAGAAAUGAGGUUGCAUUGUAGAGCCUCAUCCUCUAAACCCAAAAUACAGCAAGUAUAAGACUGCUUAGCGCAUCCAGUGAGAAUCUCAUGUAUUAUACUCUUACUUGUCAUUGAGCUGCCAGAUAAAAAUGAAUAGCUUUGUCUUAGAAAGCAAUUACUCUUCUGCAAUGAAAACAACAUU